rnacentral:rRNA from 1 species
CGUAAACAACCUGCCUUCAGGAUGGGGACAACAGACGGAAACGACUGCUAAUACCGAAUAAGUUCCAAGAGCCGCAUGGCCCAUGGAAGAAAAGGUGGCCUCUACCUGUAAGCUAUCGCCUGAAGAGGGGUUUGCGUCUGAUUAGCUGGUUGGAGGGGGUAACGGCCCACCAAGGCGACGAUCAGUAGCCGGUCUGAGAGGAUGAACGGCCACACUGGAACUGAGACACGGUCCAGACUCCUACGGGAGGCAGCAUG